UUUUAUGGAGAGUUUGAUCCUGGCUCAGGAUGAACGCUGGCGGCGUGCCUAAUACAUGCAAGUCGAGCGAACAGACGAGGAGCUUGCUCCUCUGACGUUAGCGGCGGACGGGUGAGUAACACGUGGAUAACCUACCUAUAAGACUGGGAUAACUUCGGGAAACCGGAGCUAAUACCGGAUAAUAUAUUGAACCGCAUGGUUCAAUAGUGAAAGACGGUUUUGCUGUCACUUAUAGAUGGAUCCGCGCCGCAUUAGCUAGUUGGUAGGGUAACGGCUUACCAAGGCGACGAUGCGUAGCCGACCUGAGAGGGUGAUCGGCCACACUGGAACUGAGACACGGUCCAGACUCCUACGGGAGGCAG
rnacentral:rRNA from 1 species